GAGUUUGAUCAUGGCUCAGAUUGAACGCUGGCGGCAGGCCUAACACAUGCAAGUCGAGCGGAUGACGGGAGCUUGCUCCUUGAUUCAGCGGCGGACGGGUGAGUAAUGCCUGGGAAUCUGCCUGGUAGUGGGGGACAACGUUUCGAAAGGAACGCUAAUACCGCAUACGUCCUACGGGAGAAAGCAGGGGACCUUCGGGCCUUGCGCUAUCAGAUGAGCCUAGGUCGGAUUAGCUAGUUGGUGGGGUAAUGGCUCACCAAGGCGACGAUCCGUAACUGGUCUGAGAGGAUGAUCAGUCACACUGGAACUGAGACACGGUCCAGACUCCUACGGGAGGCAGCAGUGGGGAAUAUUGGACAAUGGGCGAAAGCCUGAUCCAGCCAUGCCGCGUGUGUGAAGAAGGUCUUCGGAUUGUAAAGCACUUUAAGUUGGGAGGAAGGGCAGUAAGUUAAUACCUUGCUGUUUUGACGUUACCGACAGAAUAAGCACCGGCUAACUCUGCGCCAGCA
rnacentral:rRNA from 1 species